UACAGAGGGUGCAAGCGUUAAUCGGAAUUACUGGGCGUAAAGCGCGUGUAGGUGGACAAGCAAGUUGGAUGUAAAAGCCCCGGGCUUAACCUGGGAAAGUCAUUCAAAACUACUUGACUAGAGUAUAGUAGAGGGAAGUGGAAUUUCAGGUGUAGCGGUGAAAUGCGUAGAUAUCUGAAGGAACAUCAGUGGCGAAGGCGGCUUCCUGGACUCAUACUGACACUCAGACGCGAAAGCGUGGGUAGCGAACAGGAUUAGAAACCCGGGUAGU
rnacentral:rRNA from 1 species